rfam:Aedes albopictus isolate Foshan contig2314, whole genome shotgun sequence.
UGUUCUGUGGCUUAGUUGGUUAAAGCGCCGGUCUAGCGAAUACGGAGUCGUGGGUUCGAAUCCCACCAGAACGU